GCUUGUCUCAAAGAUUAAGCCAUGCAUGUCUAAGUAUAAGCACUUAUACAGUGAAACUGCGAAUGGCUCAUUAUAUCAGUUAUAGUUUAUUUGAUAGUCCCUACUACUUGGAUAACCGUAGUAAUUCUAGAGCUAAUACAUGCGCGAAUCCCUGACUGCGUGAGCGGAAAGGGUGUAUUUAUUAGAUACAACCAACCGGGCAACCGUUUUUGGUGAAUCAUAAUAACUGAGCGAACCGCAUGCUUCGGCGGCGGUGGUCUAUUAAGUUUCUGCCCUAUCAGCUUUCGAUGGUAGGGUAUUGGCCUACCAUGGCGUUAACGGGUAACGGAGAAUUAGGGUUCGAUUCCGGAGAGGGAGCUUGAGAGAUGGCUACCACAUCCAAGGAAGGCAGCAGG
rnacentral:rRNA from 1 species